rnacentral:rRNA from 1 species
GAUGAACGCUGGCGGCGUGCUUAACACAUGCAAGUCGAACGAGAAGUGGAGACGGAAACCUUCGGGCGGAAGACUUUAUUUCGAGUGGCGGACGGGUGAGUAACGCGUGGGUAACCUGCCUCAUACAGGGGGAUAACAGUUGGAAACGACUGUUAAUACCGCAUAAGACCACAGCACCGCAUGGUGCGGGGGUAAAAACUCCGGUGGUAUGAGAUGGACCCGCGUUCGAUUAGCCAGUUGGCGGGGUAACGGCCCACCAAAGCGACGAUCGAUAGCCGAUCUGAGAGGAUGACCGGCCACAUUGGGACUGAGACACGGCCCAAACUCCUACGGGAGGCAGCAGUGGGGUAUAUUGCACAAUGGGGGAAACCCUGAUGCAGCGACGCCGCGUGAGUGAAGAAGUAUUUCGGUAUGUAAAGCUCUAUCAGCAGGGAAGAAAAUGACGGUACCUGAGUAAGAAGCCCCGGCUAACUACGUG